AAAACAUGUGCUGUUUAUUGUAGUAUUGCAAUUGCUUUCGGAUUCUGGUUUCUGAAAGAAGAUGCACUUAGCAAUUGAAUUAGUUUAUUAAAAUGGGAAAUAGAUCCCUUCCNGGGGACCAUCUGUGCUUACUCAUUUGUGUUACUUGUUUCUCUAUUGGUGUCUGGCUUCAUUCUUAGAAGACCAUUUCCCUGAUACAUUGCAUCCAUUUAAACAAGAGAAAGCCUACGGUAUCAUAUACAUUAACCUCUUUCAUGUUGUCACUUUUUAAAAUUCUUUUACUUUUUUCUGGCAGGAGGUNCGGCUUGCAAUAGAGUACAUUGUGAUUCCUGGUGGAGAGGCUGUGGAACUUCUUCCUAGACGUUCUGAAAUUAUUGCCCUCCAGCUUGAACUUGUGCAAAGCUAUCAGUUGGCUGCUGAAAAGUCAGGUACAGAACAGAACCCCAGGUUACAGAUUCUUCCCUUGAGGAUAAAUACCAAAAAACCCUCCAAAUCUACAACUUCUGUUGCCCGCAAGAAAACAACUCCCACCUCAGCUUCUACUGGUGGCAGCAGCAAUGGCAUCAGUGUUACCAGGCUUCCCAUUUUGCCUGAAUAAUUCAAUUCUUUUUUUCCCAAUUCUAACAUAUUUCACUUCUGUUGUUCGUACAUGUAUUAUGUAUGUAACAUGUACAGUCAUGAACGUGUUGUAAAUAAUUUAUUCAUAGCCUAAGAGCCGGUAGCUCAGUUGGGGUGUGAUAUCUAUGCCGGGAGUUUGAUCCUCUGUCAAGCUGUCCCUUCUUGUACCAAAGUGUAUGUAUUGGAAAAAAAAAUCAAUUCAUAUUAAAUGUAAUAUAAUACAUCAUGGUUUUACUCCUCCAAUUCACUUUCAAUUUAUAGUGGUUAAUUUGUGUAGCUAGAGACAAUAAUACUGAAAUAUGUAAAUAUCUGAUUCAAAUGUCAGACAUAAAAAAAAGUAGAAUGGUGAAAUUAGGAAUGUAAAAUUAGGUUUAAAACUGUUAGAACCAAUUUGAUUCAAGUUCGGAGACAAAAUAUAUUAUUCUUUCUAAAUAUAACUUAAAUUGAAUCUGAUUUAGGAUGUUUAAGUGAGGUUUGAGAUGAUUUGAGAGGUAAUUUACCAAUAAUAAUUCUUUUGUAAUUUUUUACUAUAUUUGUUUCCUAAUUUUAGUUAUACAAGUGUGACACUUUAUUUUUUUAAAACUAAAAUGUUGUUUAAUCAAACAACUGUGUGUGUUAUACUAAACAAUACAAAACUAGUCAUAUAAUCUUCACAUACUACACAUAUUGUGUAUUAUAUGUAACUUCUGAAUCAUAUAAGCAUACCAGUUGUCUAGGAUUCACUGAGACAUAAUCAUACUUAGCCCACAGACUCACACUUCUACCCUGUUCUAAAGUAGUGUUGUGUAAAAAAAUUAACAGGAAUAUCUAGGUUAACCUCUAAAUCUUAAACUCUAAUAAAAACUAAUAUGAAUAUCAACGUUAACCUCCAGACCUUAAACUCCGAAUAAUAUAGGAAAAAAAUAAGAAAAAUAAAAUAUACUAUUUUAGAAAUUAAGAAUAUAUAUAUAUAUAUAUAUAUAUAUAUAUAUAUAUAUAUAUAUAUAUAUAUAUUAUUGUGACUGAAAGAGAGAAAAAAUAGUUUGGAUUUAUAAAAAUUAGAAAUUUCAAAAUCUAAUGCGUUUUGAGAUCUUAAUUAUCCCCAAUGAAUUUUGUAUUAUACUUGUCAACCUCAAGCUCUAUAUAAUUGGUAUUUAUGUUUUUUACAUACUAUGUUCUGAAAUACUCAUUAUUAUCAAAAUUUCUAAAAAUAGUAGGAUUAAAAUAUACAUUACAAAACAAAAGUACAUUGCAUAAACCUUUAAUAUAUUGUAUUAUUUUGUACUUUUAUCUAUAUUUACUAGAAGGCAAUCUUAUAAGUUUUUUACCGUGCUUCGAAAAAUUAUAUCAUAACUAUGAGUAUAUAUAUAUAUAUAUAUAUAUAUAUAUAUAUGUAUAUGUAUAUGUAUGUAUGUAUCAUAACUAUGGGGAUGCAGGGAGGAAAAAAACGAGGUGAAGGAAGAAAUAACAUUUUUUUCCGCCUUAUUAUAUGGUAAUGGUUUUGUUUCUUUGAGAAUUUUUGAACAGUUCUAUUAUUUAAUCACAAAAUUUCAGUUCAUUAAGCCUCUUAUUAAUCUUAUUAUGAUGGAAGAAGAAAGAAAAAUUAUGUUGGUUUAGUAUUUCUGAUGAAAUCAUUUUUUUUUACCUGUGUUAACUAGAAAUACAUAUUUGAUUAUUUAUCUUUUCAAUCUCACGUUUGCCAACAAUUAACUCGAACACUUUUUUUCUAUUUACAUAAUAAAGAACAUAUUGUAUUAAAUUUUAUAUUCAUGGAAACAAAACAUCUUCCUCUAAAAGAAAUGUCUUCUCCAAAUAUACUACGUAAAAAAAAAAAGAGAAAAUAAAAUAAUGGAAAUGGAUAUAUAACACUGUUGUUAGCUAUGUAUCUUAUUCAUUAUUAAAUGUGCUUGAGAUAUUAUUUGUAUGAUGUGUAAAAUAUUUAUUAAUUUAUCACAUAAGGAAAGAGUCACUAGUUUGAGAAAUGAUAAGACAUAUAAUUCAUCAUAAUGACCGGAUUGUUGAUUUUUCAAAUAUAAUAGAUAAUAACAAAAAUAAAUUUGUGUUGAAGGUUAGUUUAAUUUAUAAUGAUUGAUUGAGUUAUAAUGGUUUAAGGUUAGUUUAAUUUAAUGUUUCACAUUGUAACAUCCCGUUUUUUUUUUAUGUUUCAAUUAUCAGGGAAAAUUUAAAAUUUUAGAAUCAUAAUACUGUAAAUCCACUUAUAAAAUACAGAAAUUGGUACCAUGAAAACAAAAUAAAAUAAACCGAUUAUACUGUCUCUAACAUUUAUAGCACGAAAAUUUUAAUUAACAUAAGUCUUUUUCUCACUCUCGCAUCUCUAUUAUACAUCCGAAGCAUCUGCAACAUCUGCUCCCAUAUAACCUAAAAGUUAUACGAUCAUCGCAAGACACACACAACCACAAACACAAACAAAUAUGGGUAAGCUACCAUAACACAGCCAAUAACAAUAAAAAUAUGUACAAGAUUAGUAAGCACAACUUAAUAAUAAUAUCAUUCAACUAUAAUGUUACCCAUACUCACAUAAUUGUCUCUAUACUAUGAACAUAACCAACAUCCUCGUUAACUAUAAUGUGACUAUACCCUCCAUGUGAUCAUUUCCCAUCACAUCGUCAUCAUGAAUCAACAUUACAUGUACCUCCAUCAAAACUAACCUCAUCCUGAAUCGCCCAUCAUAAUCACACCAUGAGCCUCCACAAUACCAUAACUCCAUAGUGAAAAAAAUCAGUCACACUCUUGUGCUCAUCAACUACACCCUUAGGUAUAUCUCAACACUUACUCGUUCCAACGUAUAUAUCUAAGUACAACAAACGUUCUCCCUCUACACCUAAUAAUAAACAUUCAUCAUUAUCUGCAUUCUCAUUCAAAAAUCUAAUGUACUCAAACUAAAUCCUCUUGAGUUUCACUCCAAGAGUGAGUUACAAUUAAAUAAAUAAUUAAAUAAAUAAUAAAUAAAUGAAUAAACAUCAUUCUAAAUAAAUAAACAAAUAAAUAUCAUUCCAUUCCAUGCCAAUCCCAAUAAAUAAAUUAUUCAUUACUUUAAUUAAACAAGUCUAGUUACUUUUUCAAUUAAUUUCUAAUUUCAACAUGUUUUUAAUUAAUCUUGUGUCUAAUAAAUUACUCUCCUUCUCACUCCAAAUUAAUUCCUCUUUCCCAAUAAUUAAUUUGAUUCCAACUAAUUACUAAAUAAUAAAUUCUUACUUACAAUAAUAAUAAUUAAUAUCAUUACUGUUUUCUUUUCUCUCUACGAUUUAAUUUUUAUCAAUUAAUGACGAUAAUUAGUUAAUUAUAUUUUCAUUACUCUAAUUUUAGAAACAUAAGAUUUAUUUUAAAUUCUCUUCUUAUUAAACUUUCUGAUUAAACUUAUUAAGAGAGAAUUAGCUUUUGAAAGCUAAUUAGGGUAAAUAGGUGAAUCUAAUUGAAUUAAACAAUUAGAAUUAAGGUAAUUAGAAUUUACCAAAUACAGAGGUUAACGUAUUAAUUUUAAGAGAAUCCUAGUCUUUAAUUAUUUUAAUUAACAUGAUCAGGAAUCUCAAUCCUUAACAGUCCAACAAUUAUGUAAAACAAUAAGGCCUAAUCUUUCAUAAAUUAUUUAUUAUAAUUGAAAAAAAACUUCAAUUUCUCAUAAAACAUUAAUUAUAAUUAAAACGAAACUAUAAACCCUAAUAUGUUCUUUUAUCCCAAUAUUCACUUGUCUAUAAACCAUCAUUCAAAUAUUGAUUUGUUCAAUUCAAAUUAUGAACACACAUAAAUGAAAAUAAUUGAAUCAUUUUUCAUAGUAGAAAGAUUACAUAAUCUCAUCAUUCUUCAAACAAUCAUGCACUUCAAUAAAUAUUCAAAACAUUCAAAAUUACCAUAAUCAAACAAAUAAAUAAUAAUUCAAGAUAAGCUUCCGAUACCUUAAUAAGUUAUAGAGUAUCAAUCAAUAAUAGGUCUUCACAUUUCUCCUAUAUCUUUUAAAAGAAAAGAUUUCUCUUCUUCAAAGAAAAUUUUUGUCUUACGAUGUUCUCUAUUCUCUUUUUCUCCCUUGUUAAGGUAAUCUCUUUUCUUUCUUUUAUAAAUCUUCUUUUUAUUUUUAUUUUAAAUAAAUCAUAUUAUAAUUAAAAGAAACCACCUAGGUAGUGCUCCCUACGAUAUCUCACAAGUAGUUUUAAAAAUAACCUCCUACCCUUUUUUUUUCUAAUUUUUAACUUAUAUUAUUUAAAGUACUUUUCUUUAUUUUCCACACUCUUAUUUAUAACUUUCACACCUCAAUUACAAAAUGGACAUUCUUGCCCUUAAGAAAAUAUAAAUAAAAUCAAACAAUUGUUUCACAUGAACCUCUCUCUAAGAUCCGAACUCUCUAACAUUCAAUCCUAAAUAAAUAUUUUUAGCAACAAGCCAACACAUCACACUAGAAUAUAACACAUCACAAAUUUAACCAUCAAAUGAUAACAAGUGUUACACUUAUAUCAACAAAAUAAUAUAGAACUUUAUGUUCUUCUCAAGACUUGCACACCAACUGAACUACACAACACCUUGUAAACUCACGUAGAUUUUAAUAAAACAUAUUUAAGACUUAUUUAUAAACUCUACAUUUUCUCGGGUCUUACACACAUUGAUUUAUGUCUACUUAAGUAUUGUUAUGUUUAUUGAUGGAUAGGUAAUAUUUGUCUUUCAUCUUCUCAUAUUCUUUUCUAUUUCUAAUCACCACGAUCACGGAUAUCAUCGAUGUCACCGAUGUGCAACAUUCACCGAUGAGCCUCCAUGUCACACAUCAACCUCUACUCCACCUCCCACUUCUAUCCACCACCUUAUUUUCUUCCAUCUUCUUCUUUUUCUUAUUUUCCCCUUUCUUAUCUUCUUUUUCUUUCAUAUUGUUAUCUUCUUCUUUUCACUCAAUCCCCUUUAAUACAAUAUAAAACUUAAGCAAGUUGUUUGAGAAAUUGUUCGCUCAAAGUGUUGACAAAUUUAGUGGUAAAAUUCAAAUGUCAAUGAUUGUCACGGUAAGGUACCAAGGAAUAUUUUCGUAUGUAAUUGUGAUGAUAAGUUAUCGACAAAACAUUUUGAUGAUUUUUGUAAACAGAUUCAUUCUGGAAAAUGCGUCGGAAACAUCUUUUCAUAAAUUAGAGUUUACAAACAAAUUAUUGACCAUUAAUAAUAUUUCGUUGAUAAUUAAUGAAAUUCCUAUAAUGGUAAUCAAAGAGAAAGUGAGAAUGGAUUUUUAUGAGAUGGCAUUACGAUGAAGGAACACUUAAGCAAGGUAGACAACAAUUAUAGAUUAAAAACAUAAGCAUGUGACAUAAAAGGAACGACAAAGAGAUUGAUGAGACAUGUAAGAAUGGAAGAGAAGAAGAAAGACGUGAUUGAAGAGAAUAUGAAAUCAUGAACAAAAAGAACUUUAUUUCAUUAAAUUUGUCACAUGAAUUUAUGAAAGAUUAAGCAUAACCAACUUUUAUAAUUAUAUUUAGGACCAUUCAUCACCACUAGAAAAAGAGUUAUAGUAAAUAGAGAAAGAGUUAAAAACAAAAAAAAACUUCAACAAAGUAUUUUACAUUUUUUUUAUAAAAUAUAGAACUAAAAUUAAUACACAUUUUGAAAUGAAAUACAUUUAAUAACUAGUUUAAGAUAAGAAAAACAUUUUUUAAAAAAAUAAUAUUAAGAUCUUAUAAGAAAAAAAUCAAGUUCUACCAAAAGUUUAUGCCCAAAUCAAAAAUAGAAAAACUAUAAAUAGUUAAUACAAAUUAAUUAAAGCAUAAGAUAACUUUUAUGUUUUAGAUAAGUAAAUUUUAAUUUUUUAUUCUUAUUUUUUUCUCUUAAGAGAAAUUUAGGGAAAAGUUGGUCCAAAUACCCAUAUAAUUUUCAAACUAUCAUCUAUUCAUUUUGAUUUAAUAAAAUAAUGUCUAUUUAAAAAUAAUAGUUAACGAUUUCCACAUUAUUCCAAAAAUGGUCUUUUAAAAUACUUUUAUCUUAUUUCAGAAUUUUUUUUAUCUAUUUAAAACUAUUCUCACCGCUUAUGUCAAAGAUAGUAUAUUGUAUUGUCCUAACUAUGACGCGAGGAUAAUAUAUGUAGCAGAUAAAAUUUACUUUUCAAUCUUUAUUGUAUAUGAAACUUAUUUGAAAAUUGAUAAUUAUAAUAUUUAAGGUGGGAUUAGUAUUCAAUCUAGUAUGUUAGAAGAAACUUUUCAUCAAAAAAAGUUUUUUUUUUUUUUAAUUUAGUCUUUCAUUAUUUUUAUACGUAUAAAAUUAGUUGAAUAUGAUAUUGGUUGGCUUGGAAGUCUUUUAAUAACUUUUCUUUAUUGUUUCAUACUUGCUAAUUUAAUUUUUCUGUGAUUUAAAAAAAUUAACAGAAAAUACAAAUGAUUUUUUUUUUAAUGAGACAUAAAAUCACAAAACAAAAGAAAAAAAAAUGUUAUAGUAUCUACCAACUAGGGUGAAGUCGCAGCCGUCGUUACCACCACCGCAUGUUGUUCUCCUUUCCAUGUCCAUGAGGCUUCGUGUUUUCAACCUUGUCUUCAAAACCAUUCACAAACCCAACCUAAGACCCUUUUCACAGCCAUUUGCAUCUACUGCACUCGCUCACUCUUUCUCCAACACCGCCCCUUCCACGCCCCUUUCACACCCAACCAUCCUCCAAGUCCUUCAAACCCUCCAAUGUCUCCACCACCACCCCUCUCUCGCCCUCUCCUUCCUCAACCACCUCCACCGCACCGGCUUCCCGCACACCCUCUCAACCUACGCCGCCAUCAUCAAAAUGUUCGCUUUCUGGAACCUUCCCAGAAAACUAGAUUCCCUCUUUCUCCACCUCAUUACCCUCUCAAAACACCACCAUCUUCCCUUUCACCUCCUUCAACUCUUCGAAAUACUCUUCCAGGACUUCGACCACCAUAACCAUUACUUGCUCAGAGCUUUUGGUGGCUUUGUCAAAACCUGUGUCAGCCUCAACAUGUUUGAUGAGGCCAUUGAUUUCUUGUUCCAAACUCGGCGCCGUGGAAUUGUCCCUGAUGUUCUCACUUGCAACUUCCUCUUCAACAGGUUAGUGGAACAGGGCGAGGUCGAUAAAGCACUGGCCAUUUUUGAGCAACUCAAGAGGUUUGGUUUCAGACCCAAUUGUUAUUCCUAUGCAAUUUUAAUCAAGGCGUUGUGUAAAAAGGGUGACUUGAGUCAACCUCUCUGUGUUUUUGAGGAAAUGGAGAGAGUCGGGAUCACCCCUCAUUCGUAUUGCUAUGCUGCUUACAUUGAAGGGUGUUGUAAUAACCAUAGAUCUGCUCUUGGGUAUAAGGUGCUGCAGGAAUUGAGAAAGAAUAAUGCCCCUUUGGAGGUUUAUGCAUACACUGUGGUUGUUCGCGAGUUUUGUAAUGAGAUGAAGUUGGAUGAGGCUCAGGGUGUGUUUGAUGACAUGGAGAGGCAAGGGUUGGUUCCUGAUGUGUUUGUUUAUUCUGCCUUGAUUCAAGGGUAUUGUAAGGGUCAUAAUCUGNNCNANGCUUUGNCUUUGCNUNAUNAGAUGAUUUCGAGGGGUGUGAAGACAAAUUGUGUUAUUGUUAGUUACAUUCUACAUCUUUUGGGAAAGAUGGGCAAGACUUUGGAGGUGGUGGAUGAGUUUAAGAAACUAAAGGAGUCCGGAAUGUUUCUUGAUGGGGUUGUCUACAACAUUGUUUUUGAUGCUUUGUUUAAGUUGGGGAAGGUGGAGGAUGCGAUAGAGAUGUUGGAAGACAUGAAGAGAAGAGGUGUGGCUUUAGAUCUUAAGCACUACACAACCUUUAUCAAGGGAUACUGCCUUCAGGGUGAUCUCGUUAGUGGGUUUAGGGUGUUUAAGGAAAUGAGUGAUGAAGGUUUCAAACCUGAUAUUAUAACAUAUAAUGUACUGGUGACUGGGNUGGUUAGAAAUGGNNAUGCUUGUGAGGCAUNAAAGUUUUUGCAGAGUGAAGGCGUGAAGCCAAACUCUACUACACAUAAGUUAAUCAUUGAAAAUUUGUGUUCAGUGGGAAAGGUUUUGGAAGCCGAGGCGUAUUUUAACAGUCUAAAAGAUAAGAGUUUUGAAAUCUAUUCUGCCAUGGUUAAUGGCUAUUGUGAAGCGGACCGUGUAAACAAAGCCUAUAAAAUUUUCCAUGAGCUGUCAAACCAAGGAGAUAUGGUUAACAAUGCCUCCUGUUCUAAGCUAAUUACUAAACUCUGGAUGACAAAAGACACUAAGAAAGCUAGUAUGGUGCUGAAGAGAAUGUUGUCUUCAAAUGCUGAACCUAGCAUAGUAAUGUAUUCAAAAGUUAUAUCUUUGCUGUGCGAGACUGGGGAUACUAAGAAGAAGGAUAUGGAUAAUGCUCGCCUUUUUUUUAAUCUUUUUGUAAAUAGAGGACUCACCCCUGAUGUUAUAAUUUACACAAUUAUGAUAAAUAGUUAUUGUAGGAUGAACUACUUGGAAGAGGCCCAUGACCUCUUCGAGGAUAUGAAGAGGAGAGGAAUCAAACCUGAUGUCAUUACCUACACAGUUUUACUUCAUGGAAACUAUAAAGAUUAUUUAAAAAGGUGUCAUGGAGAAGGAAAUAAGACAUCAUUGAAAGUUUCUUCCAUCUUGAGAGAUACAUCAUUGAAAGUUUCUUCCAUCUUGAGAGAUAUGGAUCAAAUGGAAAUAAAUCCGGAUGUUUUUUUUUACACUGUGUUGAUUGAUGGAGUCAAUAAGACAGAUAACUUUAAAAAAGCAUUAAGCCUAUUUGGUAAUAUGGUUGACAGGGGACUAGAACCAGAUACUAUAACAUGCGCUGCUCUGGGCUUACGUAGUAAAUUUCACGGGGAUAAAGCCAUUAAACUGCUUAAUGAAAUGGGAAUGACAGCAGCUGCGUGUCAUCUCAGCUCUAAAACGAGGUAGAAGGGUGCAUUUUCAUUAGAAGUUGUUGUAAUAUGGGAUAAUAUCUUUAUAAUCUUCCUAAUUAGAGGAAAUAGAUACAUAAUAUUUUGUUAUUUUAUUUUUUCCUAGGUUUUCUAGUUUUCCUAUUUUUCUUUUUAGAAGAACUAGAUUAUUACAAACAAAUAGAAGAUUUGAGAAUGUAUUUUUCAUGAUUUGAAUAAUAAAUCAGUCACAUGGUAUCAAAGAGCUUAUCUAAUCUGCUUCUGCUGUUUUUGCUAUUUUUGCUGUCUGCCGACGGCCGACCGCCAUGGCUUUCUGCAUGCAUGAUCCUAAAAUUCUCUUUUUUUUAACCUGUGUUUUUAAUGGGCUCCAAUUGCCCUAGCCAAGUUCUUUUUUUUUUUUUUUUUUUUUUUUCCAGGAUUGCCAAAUAGAGAGUUUGUUUGAGUAUUAUUAGAGUGGGAUUCGAACCCAUUUCCUUUGGAACCGAAAGUCUCUUCUUCGAAUAAUCUAACACUACUGCCUUCACUGCUUUUUUCGCUGUGCACUGUCGCUCUUUACCGCCGUCCACCGUCUGCCGCCGGCCUUCGUACGUCGUCGGCCAACGUCACAGUUUCGACCGGUGACCAGCAGAUCUAGACCGUCUCUUCAAGCGACAGCCAACCCCACCGGAGUCAGGACCCGACUCCGCUCAACGCGCCUCCACGCGCAGCCACCGUUGCCGGAGCGUGCAGACCCACCCGUCGCCGUCGCAGACAGGGUCACCGGAGCCUCCUGAACCCAUUCCUAGGGUCGGUGAUGACUCGUUUGGGCUAUAUUUUAGUAGAUCUGAGUUUUAGUCUCUGCUCCUUGGUGUGACCCACUCGCCGGACCUUCCUCUCUGUUCUGACCCUCUAUAGCAGCCAUUACUGUCAUCUUCGUUGUCCUCACAACAUCUUCGUUGGUGCAACUAAAUUUUUGAACAGUUCUACUAUUUAAUCACAAAAUUUCAGUUCCUUAAGCCUCUUAUUAAUCUUAUUAUGAUGGAAGAAGAAAGAAAAAUUAUGUUAAUCAUUUUUUUACCUAUGUUAACUAGAAAUACAUAUUUGAUUAUUUAUUUUUCAAUCUCACUUUUGCCAAACUUUUUUAUGUUCCUCUUUAUAUCACACUAGUUUUCCUACUACGAUUAACUUGAACACCUUUUUCUAUUUACAUAAUAAAGAAGAUAUUUUAUUAAAUUUUAUAUUCAUUGAAACAAAAUAUCUUCCUCUAAAAGAAAUGUCUUCUCCAAAUAUACUACAUAAACAAAAAAAAGAAGAAGAGAAAAUAAAAAUAAUGGGAAUGGAUAUAUAACAAUGUUGUUAGUGAUGUAUCUUAUUCAUUAUUAAGUGUGGUUGAGAUAUUAUUUGUAUGAUGUGUAAAAUAUUUAUUGAUUUAUCACAUAAGGAAAGAGUCACUAAUUUGAGAAAUGAUAAGACCUAAUUAACAAUAAUGACCGGAUUGUUAAUUUUUCGCUAGACCAUAACAAAUAGAAAUUUGUGUUGAAUAUCAUAAUUGCAUUAUAUGGUGAAUUUUAGCUCAACCAUUAGAUACGGAAGUCCAACCAUAAGCAUAUAACAAUAUUAUUCUGUAUAUACUUUUAAGAAAUGUUUUUUAAUGGUAAGCUACAUCAAUAUAUCGUCUUUAAAAUUAUAAGUUGGAUUUAUUAAUUAGGGUGUCUAGAAAGUAUGUCCCUCUUCUUCACAUGAGAAAGACCAACUAAUACAAAAUAUAUUUAUCACUUGUUAUUUUAACAUAAAAUUUACAUGUUUUGUUUUUUGAAAUAAGUAAUGUUAUAUUUUAAGAUUUUGAAGAAUAUAUUUAUUAGGAAGGAUUUAGUUGCAACAGUUCAAGGCUAGUUCAAUUUAAUGUUUCACAUUGAUUUAUGUUUACUUAAGUAUUAUGUUAUGUUUAUUGAUGGAUUAUUGAUGGACAAAACUCAUUGGUAAUAUUUUUCUUUCACCUUCUCGUCCUCUUCUCUAACUUCAACCACCAUUGUCACCGUCACAGUCACGAGUAUCAUUGAUGUCACUAGUGUGUCACAUCCUCCAGUGAGCCUCACAUCACACACCAACCUCCACCCCCACACUCCCAUCCACCACCUUAUUUUCCGCCAUCUUCCUCACAUCACACUUUUCAUUUUCUUUUCACUUUUAUGAGUUAUAUGAAUAAUGACUAAUUAAAUACAUUCCUCCUUCUGGCUCGCUUCUUCUUUCAAAGAGCUAAUUGAUCUUAAAAUUUCAGAGCCAUGUGCAAAUGGAAUAUGUGUGCUUUCCCACAUUUCUAAUAUUUAUUGAAGAUUUGUUUGAAUAGAGCGUUACCCUUGGGGAUGAGGAAGCCAGGAAGAGGAAAGUGCAGAAGACAAUUCUUGAAAGGAAAGGACCCCCAACGUUUUCAUGUGCUGUUGAGAUGAUAUCUAAAACAGAAUGCCGUGUUCUAAAACAGAAUUGCUAAGUGCAGAAGAUGCACUUAGCAAUUGAAUUAGUUUAUUAAAAUGGGAAAUAGAUCCCUUCCAGGGGACCAUCUGUGCUUACUCACUUGUGUUACUUGUUUCUCUAUUGGUGUCUGGCUUCAUUCUUAGAAGACCAUUUCCCUGAUACAUUGCAUCCAUUUAAACAAGAGAAAGCCUACGGUAUCAUAUACAUUAACCUCUUUCAUGUUGUCACUUUUUAAAAUUCUUUUACUUUUUUCUGGCAGGAGGUNCGGCUUGCAAUAGAGUACAUUGUGAUUCCUGGUGGAGAGGCUGUGGAACUUCUUCCUAGACGUUCUGAAAUUAUUGCCCUCCAGCUUGAACUUGUGCAAAGCUAUCAGUUGGCUGCUGAAAAGUCAGGUACAGAACAGAACCCCAGGUUACAGAUUCUUCCCUUGAGGAUAAAUACCAAAAAACCCUCCAAAUCUACAACUUCUGUUGCCCGCAAGAAAACAACUCCCACCUCAGCUUCUACUGGUGGCAGCAGCAAUGGCAUCAGUGUUACCAGGCUUCCCAUUUUGCCUGAAUAAUUCAAUUCUUUUUUUCCCAAUUCUAACAUAUUUCACUUCUGUUGUUCGUACAUGUAUUAUGUAUGUAACAUGUACAGUCAUGAACCUGGUGUAAAUAAUUUAUUCAUAGCCUAAGAGCUUGUAGCUCAGUUGGGGUGUGAUAUCUAUGCCGGGAGUUUGAUCCUCCGACAAGCUGUCCCUUCUUGUAUCAAAGUGUAUGUAUUGGAAAAAAAAAAUCAAUCCAUAUGAAAUGUAAUAUAAUACAUCAUGGUUUUAUUCCUCCAAUGUACUUUCAAUUUAUAGUGGUAAAUUUGUGUAGCUAGAGACAAUAAUACUG
rnacentral:lncRNA from 1 species